rnacentral:rRNA from 1 species
AGUGAACGCUGGCGGUAGGCCUAACACAUGCAAGUCGAACGGCAGCACAGUAAGAGCUUGCUCUUACGGGUGGCGAGUGGCGGACGGGUGAGGAAUACGUCGGAAUCUACUUUUUCGUGGGGGAUAACGUAGGGAAACUUACGCUAAUACCGCAUACGACCUACGGGUGAAAGCAGGGGAUCUUCGGACCUUGCGCGAUUGAAUGAGCCGAUGUCGGAUUAGCUAGUUGGCGGGGUAAAGGCCCACCAAGGCGACGAUCCGUAGCUGGUCUGAGAGGAUGAUCAGCCACACUGGAACUGAGACACGGUCCAGACGCCUACGGGAGGCAGCAGUGGGGAAUAUUGGACAAUGGGCGCAAGCCUGAUCCAGCCAUACCGCGUGGGUGAAGAAGGCCUUCGGGUUGUAAAGCCCUUUUGUUGGGAAAGAAAAGCAGCAGGUUAAUACCCCGCUGUUCUGACGGUACCCAAAGAAUAAGCACCGGCUAACUUCGU